CACGUAGGCACCAAGCGUUGUCCGGAUUUAUUGGGCGUAAAGAGCUCGUAGGCGGUUCAGUAAGUCGGGUGUGAAAACUCUGGGCUUAACCCGGAGAGGCCACUCGAUACUGCUGAACUUGAGUACGGUAGGGGAGUGGGGAAUUCCUGGUGUAGCGGUGAAAUGCGCAGAUAUCAGGAGGAACACCGGUGGCGAAGGCGGGUCUCUGGGCCGAUACUGACGCUGAGGAGCGAAAGCGUGGGGAGCGAACAGG
rnacentral:rRNA from 1 species